ACCUUANCAGGGCUUGACAUGUCACAAAUCUUCCUGAAAGGGAAGAGUGCCUUCGGGAAUGUGAACACAGGUGGUGCAUGGCUGUCGUCAGCUCGUGCCGUGAGAUGUUGGGUUAAGUCCCGCAACGAGCGUAACCCUUGUCUUUAGUUGCCAUCAUUUAGUUGGGCACUUUAAAGAGACUGCCGGUGAUAAACCGGAGGAAGGUGAGGACGACGUCAAGUCAGCAUGCCCCUUACGCCCUGGGCUACACACGUACUACAAUGGCCGAGACAAAGAGUCGCAAGUUUGCAAAGACAAGCUAAUCUCAUAAACUCGGUCUCAGUUCGGAUUGUAGGCUGCAACUCGCCUACAUGAAGUUGGAAUCGCUAGUAAUCGCCGGUCAGCUAUACGGCGGUGAAUCCGUUCCCGGGCCUUGUACACACCGCCCGUCACACCAUGGAAGCUGUUCAUGCCCAAAGUCGUUACCUUAACCGCAAGGAG
rnacentral:rRNA from 1 species